GCUCCGGUGGCCUAGUGGUUAUAGCGCCGCCUCGGAUGCGAGACGUGGUGGGUUCGAUCCCCGGUCGAGUCA